AACGAACGCUGGCGGCAUGCCUAACACAUGCAAGUCGAACGAGACCUUCGGGUCUAGUGGCGAACGGGUGCGUAACGCGUGGGAACCUGCCCUUAGGUUCGGAAUAACUCCCCGAAAGGGGUGCUAAUACCGGAUAAUGUCUUCGGACCAAAGAUUUAUCGCCUUUGGAUGGGCCCGCGUUGGAUUAGCUAGUUGGUAGGGUAAAAGCCUACCAAGGCGACGAUCCAUAGCUGGUCUGAGAGGAUGAUCAGCCACACUGGGACUGAGACACGGCCCAGACUCCUACGGGAGGCAGCAGUGGGGAAUAUUGGACAAUGGGCGAAAGCCUGAUCCAGCAAGGCCGCGUGAGUGAUGAAGGCCUUAGGGUUGUAAAGCUCUUUUACCCGGGAUGAUAAUGACAGUACCGGGAGAAUAAGCUCCGGCUAACUCCGUG
rnacentral:rRNA from 1 species